rnacentral:lncRNA from 1 species
UUAUUUAUCCUUCUUGAAUUGCGACAUCAAGAUUCGUUUAUCAUGAGCGACAUCAAGAUUCGUUUAUCAUGAGCGACAUCAAGAUUCGUUUAUCAUGACUUGGUAUUUUAUUCGUCUAUGCAAUUUAGCGACUGACUACAAAUACAAUUUCACAAUCGUUAAACGAGAAGGUAAGUAGAUGGUGCCGAAUUCCGUACAUUUUCGCAUUCACGUUUAAAGAUUUGUUGGAAAUUCACAAGUUCGGUAGGCUGGGGUUGUCGGAAAAGAAGGUUCUGCAGGGCAUUAUAAUUAUCGCGUGUAGGAACAUUUGGUUGGCCAGAAAUAAAGCGGUUUUUUCAGGCUCUCGGGUUAGUGUGGAAGAAGUUUUCAGUGAUAUUAGAACUUUGAGAUUCUUUUGGUUGAAGCAUAGGUCACCUUUUCAGUCCAUAGUGUGGAACGAUUGGUGUAAUUUUGUAAUUAUGUAGUUUGUGUUUGUUGUUGUCCAGCUCGGUCUUCGGGCUCG